rnacentral:sRNA from 1 species
ACCGCCACAGGCGGUAUCCGCCGAUGCCCCGGACAGCCGGCGGAUAACCGCAAGCGGUUAUUCGCCCUACGGAUC